AACGAACGUUGGCGGCGUGGAUUAGGCAUGCAAGUCGUACGCGAAAGAGGGAGCAAUCCCUUGAGUAAAGUGGCGAACGGGUGAGUAACGCGUAGGAAACCUGCCUUCGAGAUGGGGAUAACACUCCUAACGGGGUGCUAAUACCGAAUGACACUGCGGGAUCGCAUGGUUCUGCAGUCAAAGGUGGCCUCUGCUUGCAAGCUACCACUCGGAGAUGGUCCUGCGUCCCAUUAGCUAGUUGGCGGGGUAAUGGCCCACCAAGGCGACGAUGGGUAGCCGAUCUGAGAGGAUGACCGGCCACACUGGGGCUGAGAUACGGCCCAGACUCCUACGGGAGGCAGCAGUCGAGAGGCUUCGGCAAUGGGGAAACCCUGACCGAGCGACGCCGCGUGGAGGAUGAAGGCCUUUGGGUUGUAAACUCCUGUCAUGUGGGAAGAAACGCCACCGUGCGAAUA
rnacentral:rRNA from 1 species